AGGACGAACGCUGGCGGCGUGCUUAACACAUGCAAGUCGAGCGGAAAGGCCCUUCGGGGUACUCGAGCGGCGAACGGGUGAGUAACACGUGAGUAAUCUGCCCCUAGCUCUGGGAUAGCUCCGGGAAACCGGGAUUAAUACUGGAUACGACCACCUUAGACAUCUUUUGUGGUGGAAAGAAUUUCGGCUAGGGAUGAGCUCGCGGCCUAUCAGCUUGUUGGUGGGGUAACGGCCUACCAAGGCGACGACGGGUAGCCGGCCUGAGAGGGCGACCGGCCGACACUGGGACUGAGACACGGCCCAGACUCCUACGGGAGGCAGCAGUGGGAAUAUUGCGCAAUGGGCGAAAGCCUGACGCAGCGACGCCGCGUGGGGGAUGAAGGCCUUCGGGUUGUAAACCCUUUCAGCAGGGACGAAGCGAAAGUGACGGUACCUGCAGAAGAAGCGCCGGCUAACUACGCGCCAGCAGCCGC
rnacentral:rRNA from 1 species